GGAGAGAUGGCAGAGUCUGGCUGAAUGCGCUGCACUCGAAAUGCAGUUUACACUUGUGUAACGGGGGUUCGAAUCCCUCUCUCUCCG
rnacentral:tRNA from 1 species